rnacentral:rRNA from 1 species
UACGGAGGGUGCAAGCGUUAAUCGGAAUUACUGGGCGUAAAGCGCGCGUAGGCGGUUUUUUAAGUCGGAUGUGAAAGCCCCGGGCUCAACCUGGGAACUGCAUCCGAUACUGGAAGACUAGAAUGCGGGAGAGGGAGGUAGAAUUCCAUGUGUAGCAGUGAAAUGCGUAGACAUAUGGAGGAAUACCAGUGGCGAAGACGGCCUCCUGGCUCGACAUUGACACUGAGGUGCGAAAGCGUGGGGAGCAAACGGG